GAUGAACGCUAGCGGCAGGCCUAACACAUGCAAGUCGAGGGAGAAGCCCUUUCGGGGGCAGAAACCGGCGCACGGGUGCGUAACGCGUAUGCAACCUACCUUUCACAGGGGGAUAGCCCGAAGAAAUUUGGAUUAAUACCCCAUAAUAUUAUUGGAUGGCAUCAUUUGAUAAUUAAAACUGCGGUGGUGAAAGAUGGGCAUGCGUCCUAUUAGCUAGUUGGAGUGGUAACGGCACCCCAAGGCUACGAUAGGUAGGGGUCCUGAGAGGGAGAUCUCCCACACUGGUACUGAGACAGGGACCAGACUCCUACGGGAGGCAGCAGUGAGGAAUAUUGGUCAAUGGUCGGAAGACUGAACCAGCCAUGCCGCGUGCAGGAAGAAUGCCUUAUGGGUUGUAAACUGCUUUUAUAUGGGAAGAAUAAGGUGUACGUGUACAUUGAUGACGGUACCAUAUGAAUAAGCAUCGGCUAACUCCGUG
rnacentral:rRNA from 1 species